AUAUGUGGUAUUUCUUCAUUGCUUAGUCGGAUUAGAAUGCUACUUCGGCUAGCAUCGAGAUAAAACACUUCGGGUACAAUAACAAGGUCAGACACUUCAGUUAUACGAAGAUCAGAUUGACAAAUAUCAACCAUACCAAAUUUUGGUUUGAAUGUUGAAGCCAACGUUCUAUUACCUAUUUGCUUCACUGUCAGUCUUUUUCUUGGGCCCAC
rnacentral:lncRNA from 1 species